UGGAAGAUACUACGGAGACAGGAAAAUGCAUGCAGUGUGGGGUCCUGUUUGUGUCCUGGGACGGGAAAAGGCCUCGUGGAAAACUGAGCAGAAGUGCCAUGUCAGUGAGGACGACAUGACCCCUGACACCAGUGAAGCAUUCCAGAGUCUGGUCACAUUUAUGAGUUUUAGCUUUUUCACAAGGUCCUGUUCAUUGAUCCCAUGAUGUCACAUGGUUCUACUUCAUAUUUCUUUCUGAAGAGUGAAAAAGCCUUGGAAAGAGUGAUUGACGAGUUUCUAGAAGGACUACUUAGCCUGCCUGAGGAGCCAGCAGAGACCCCAAGGGAUUGUUAGAGUUAGCUUAGAAUCCUCAAGUAAUUUUGU